GAAAUGCGAUAAGUAAUGUGAAUUGCAGAAUUCAGUGAAUCAUCGAAUCUUUGAACGCACCUUGCGCCCUCUGGUAUUCCGGAGGGCAUGCCUGUUUGAGUGUCAUUAAAUUCUCAACUUCAUUAGUUUUUAUAAACURAUUGAAGCUUGGAUGUGGGGGUUUGCYGGCGUCAUUAAGAUGUUUUCGGCUCCCCUUAAAUGCAUUAGUAGGAACCCGUUUGUUGGCGUCCUUGGUGUGAUAAUUAUCUACACUUUGGUUAGUCUGACAGGCUCUAAUGAAGCUUAUACUGUGAGGUUUUGCACAUUKGGUGCUUUUCCUGAGUAUGGGGUUUUGUAUUCUUGUGAAUGCUUUACCUGAUCUUUUCAUUAGAGUAGGAACUCUGCUCUCUAACUGUCUGCGUAUUGUGGACAACUUUUGACAACUUGACCUCAAAUCAGGUAGGACUACCCGCUGAACUUAA
rnacentral:rRNA from 1 species